rnacentral:rRNA from 1 species
UAGUAAGAUCCCUGAAAGAUGAUCAGGUUGAUAGGUCAGAGGUGGAAGCGUGGCGACAUGUGGAGCUGACUGAUACUAAUCGAUCGAGGACUUAACCAA